GAGGGUUAUCUUCUUCGUGCUGUCUCCUCAUCGGACGCAUCCAAAAGGGAUAGGUUGAUCGAACUGAAAUGGAAUGGCUGGAAGAACUUGUUUUUGAGAAGCUUCUGGCAAGUGAAAAUAUACCUCGGCAAUUUUAUUUAUUAGAUGUAUGAGAAGAUAACAUGAUGAAAUGCAAGUUCAAGGUGAGUCGCCAAGCCGGUAUAAAAGCUUCACGUGUAGUUACUGCGGUUAUCACAAUGUGAGUUUGUGGGUGAAGAACUGUGCAACUUUUUAUAGUAUACCAGCAUGAAAUUCAUGUACCUAUUGAUUUUGACACUGCUGACCGUAGAGGCCGUGCCCAUGAUGCGGCUUAAUACCCAGGAAAAUGUUAACUUUGGUUACCCAAUCAAUACUCCGAUGUAUUAUUACGUUCCUUACGUGUCCCCUUAUUAUUCACUACAUCAGUUGAUAGACACUGGUGCGUUUGCAAUGAAUGGACCAAGCGGGAUGGAAUCCAAGUUUUCUCUCUCGGACAAAACUCUAGGCCUUUUUUCGACCACCGAUGAUGAUUCUGUUGAGAUAUACGCUAAUCCUGUCCAAGAAUUUCUAAAUCGAUUAUUUUCGGGAGUAAUAUUUAGACCGAUUCGAUUUUGGAUUAAGGGCUUCAAACCUGUGAAUACUGCUAGCGCACCGACAGUUAUCAAUUACCCUGGAGUUUCAAGUGCACCAGCGGUUAUCGAUAAUGAAAACGAAUCUGUGAUUAUUGAAGCUGAAGGAUACCAACUAUUGAAAUAAUUUGUGUAAUUCAUGCCUGUUGGUCAUUCACGAAUAUUUAUUGAAAUCCUCCUACACCGUGAGAUUUUUUUUCAAUCAGUAAAAAAAUACACAAAAAUUUGAUAAAGAAUUCAAUGACCUUUAUUUUUCCCAUUUCACUUUUAGUUAGGACUGAAAAGACAGAUAACUUGAUGAUCGAUGUUCUACAGCAUUAGUUAAAGAACACACAUCACGACUGUUAACUUACAUUAAGCAAUCUUUUCCUAUAUUCCGAGGAAAUCAAACCAGUACAACAGGUCAAUCUAAUUGGCGUGAAUAAGAGAAUAGAAUCCACGAAGGAAAUAUCAUUUCAUUUUCAGCAUUCACUCGAAUUCCAUUGGCUUAUCCAAAAAAGAGUGUGCAGCAGGAACUCGAGGGAGGAACUUGUUUUUGAAAUUCCAUGACCAGCUUUGUCGUGUUUACGGAAGCCAUCAGAAGAAGAAAAAAAAAGUUGUCGGUUUGAUCUUCCCAAAACUCGCCCUCGUCGGUACUAUAAAACUCAGUCGAAGUAGCUUCAAUGGCUGCAGAAAGCGUCCAACAAACAGUCGAUUACUACCAUGAAAUACAUCGUUGCAGUGCUUUUGGCCCUGAUGUCAGCCGUAAGUGCUUGGCGAUAUCCGUUUUAUGACCCGUCCAGUCGCCACGGCUACCCGCUGCUACCGUUUUACGAUCAACACUUUCCAGCUCCCUGGCCGUACCAAGGGCCGUACUAUCCUGAAGAUUUUCCCGAGUUCCGGGUGUUUCCCUGUUCACCACGCCCUUUCCCAUACUAUCCCAGCAGUGUGGUUGACAGAGAAUUCGAGCCCGAAAAUAAAAUGGAAUUCCGGGAUGAUAUUGACAAUGAUGAGUCAUUUGACACGGCAGACGACUUAUCUGACAGCCGGUUGAUACACUUCCAGACCAACACUCCGUACAGGAGAUUCAAUAAUUUCAUCAAAACUUUGGACAAUUUGAGAUCAGCUUUCAACGCCCGAAGAAGGUGGAAUUUUAAGAUCAGAAGAAACAAAAACGGUCUUGUCUUUGAAACAAUCCAAGAGCCCGCCGUCGAAGAAGAAAAUCACCAAGCAAAUAGUUACAACUACUAUUAUGUUAAUAAUUAAUUUGCCAUAUUAUAUUGCAAACCCUGUUGCAUUCGUCAGACGAACUGUUACCGAUUAUUUCGCAUAUGCGGUAAAACUCGACAGUACGUAAAUUGUAAUGCGUAUUAUUUUAGUUGAUAAUCUGGUUAUUCCUACAAUACAAUGUCAAACCGA
rnacentral:lncRNA from 1 species